CUGCAACUCGACUACAUGAAGCUGGAAUCGCUAGUAAUCGCAAAUCAGAAUGUUGCGGUGAAUACGUUCCCGGGUCUUGUACACACCGCCCGUCACACCAUGGGAGUCGGAAAUGCCCGAAGUCUGUGACCCAACGAAAGAGGGAGCAGCCGAAGGCAGGUCUGAUAACUGGGGUGAAGUCGUAACAAGGUAAC
rnacentral:rRNA from 1 species